UACGGGGGGGGGCAAGCGUUGUUCGGAAUUACUGGGCGUAAAGGCUCGUAGGCGGCCAACUAAGUCCGACGUGAAAUCCCCAGCUUAACCUGGGAACUGCGUCGGAUACUGGAUGGCUUGAAUUCGGGAGAGGGAUGCAGAAUUCCAGGUGUAGCGGUGAAAUGCGUAGAUAUCUGGAGGAAUACCGGUGGCGAAGGCAAUCCCCUGGGCCGAUACUGACGCUGAGGAGCGAAAGCGUGGGGAGCAAACGGG
rnacentral:rRNA from 1 species